GGGGAGAUGGCUCAGCAAUUAAGAGCACGGACUGCUCUUCCAGGGGACCUGGGUUCAAAUCCCAGUACCCACA
rnacentral:tRNA from 1 species